UACGUAGGGGGCGAGCGUUGUCCGGAGUUACUGGGCGUAAAGCGUGCGCAGGCGGUGAUGUAAGACAGGUGUGAAAUCCCCGGGCUUAACCUGGGAACUGCAUUUGUGACUGCAUCGCUGGAGUGCGGCAGAGGGGGAUGGAAUUCCGCGUGUAGCAGUGAAAUGCGUAGAUAUGCGGAGGAACACCGAUGGCGAAGGCAAUCCCCUGGGCCUGCACUGACGCUCAUGCACGAAAGCGUGGGGAGCAAACAGG
rnacentral:rRNA from 1 species